rnacentral:rRNA from 1 species
CAGCAGCCGCGGUAAUACGUAGGUGGCGAGCGUUGUCCGGAAUUAUUGGGCGUAAAGGGAGCGCAGGCGGACAUAUAAGUCCAUCUUAAAAGUGCGGGGCUCAACCCCGUGAGGGGAUGGAAACUGUAUGCCUUGAGUGUAGGAGAGGAAAGCGGAAUUCCCAGUGUAGCGGUGAAAUGCGUAGAUAUUGGGAGGAACACCAGUGGCGAAGGCGGCUUUCUGGACUGCAACUGACGCUGAGGCUCGAAAGCCAGGGGAGCGAACGGGAUUAGAUACCCGCGUAGUCCCUGUCUCUUAUACA